CCUACGGGAGGCAGCAGUGAGGAAUAUUGGUCAAUGGCCGGAAGGCUGAACCAGCCAAGCCGCGUGAAGGACGAAGGUGCCAAGCAUUGUAAACUUCUUUUGUCAAGGGACAAAAUCAGGCUCGAGAGCCUGACCGAGGGUACUUUAAGAAAAAGCAUCGGCUAACUCCGUGCCAGCAGCCGCGGUAAUACGGAGGAUGCGAGCGUUAUCCGGAUUUAUUGGGUUUAAAGGGUGCGUAGGGGGACUGUUAAGUCAGCGGUAAAAGCCCGGGGCUCAACCCCGACGAGCCGGUGAAUCUGGCAGUCUUGAGAAGACGAGAGGUAUGCGGAAUGCGCGGUGUAGCGGUGAAAUGCUUAGAUAUUGCGCAGAACUCCGAUUGCGAAGGCAGCAUACCGGCGGCGAUCUGACGCUGAGGCACGAAAGCGUGGGUAUCGAACAGGAUUAGAUACCCUAGUAGUC
rnacentral:rRNA from 1 species